GUAGUCAUAUGCUUGUCUCAAAGACUAAGCCAUGCAUGUCUAAGUAUAAAUGUUAUACAGUGAAACUGCGAAUGGCUCAUUAAAACAGUUAUAGUUUAUUUGAUAAUCAAAUUUACAUGGAUAACCGUGGUAAUUCUAGAGCUAAUACAUGCUGUUAAGCCUGACUUUUAGGAAGGGCUGUAUUUAUUAGAUAACAAAUCAAUAUUCCUCGUGUCUAUUGUGAUGACUCAUAAUAACUGAUCGAAUCGCAUGGGCUUUGCCCGCGAUACAUCAUUCAAGUUUCUGCCCCAUCAGCUUUCGAUGGUAGUGUAUUGGACUACCAUGGCUUUCACGGGUAACGGAGGAUUAGGGUUCGAUUCCGGAGAGGGAGCCUGAGAAACGGCUACCACAUCUAAGGAAGGCAGCAGGCGCGUAAAUUACCCAAUCCUGACUCAGGGAGGUAGUGACAAGAAAUAACGGACCGAAGCCUAUGUUUCGGGAUUGCAAUGAGUAGAAUUUAAACCCCUUUACGAGGAUCAAUUGGAGGGCAAGUCUGGUGCCAGCAGCC
rnacentral:rRNA from 1 species